AGGUAUUUAUGACAUUCCUACCCACUUUUGUCCUAGGAACUCAACGGACACUGCAUGCAUAGAGGAAAAAAGGAAGGUCUGUGAAUUUGGUGACUUCUGACUCUGCAUGUGGGCUUUGCCAAUGAUCAGACUUGCGAUCUCAGGGCACUGCUGUAAAGCCACUGUCUCCCUGGAAAAUUCUCUUUUCUUGGUUUCCAUGGCUCAAGACAGGCCAGAAUUCUGACAAAAUGCAUUUGAAAACUGGCUCCAAUCCUGUGCUGAGUUCUGGCUCUUCAAUAGGACAGACUACUGUGAUUAUCUUCUACAGGAGGAGCUAUGAGGUAAAUUCUUUCUGCCCCCUUGAAUCUGGGCUGGCCUCAUAACUUGCUCAAGCCGACAAGACAGUAGCAAAUGGGUACCAAGCAGAGGUUUGAGAAGUGCUGUACGGUGUCCCCUGUUUUCUGUUGCUACUCAUAACAACUCUGCAACUAUCACCAAAUGAAGAAGUUUGGGCCAGUCUGCUGGAUGAUGAGGGAGACAUGAUCCUGGUGUCCCCACUACUCCAACUACAUGACAUGUGAGAUAAUCAUAUCACUGCCAGCUGACCACAGAUGCCUGGGUAUGCCCAGCCGAGCAUGUGCUAUAUUGGCAGACCACAGAACUGUGGCUAACCAAAUGAUUGUUAUGGUAAACUGCUAAGUUUUGGGCACAAUUUUAUAUGGCAAAACUAACAUAUAUGCUCUUAUGGGGCUAUGAGGAUUGGAUAAGUUAACGCUAAUGUACAAAGCUCACAGUCAGUGCUAUAUAAGCAUUCGCACUUCUUACUACAGCUGCUUACUUGCCUGUGUGGAUUCACCCCUAGACUGCCAGCUCCUUGAAUGCAGGAAUUCUGUUUUUCCUUCAUUACAUCCUCUAUAUCACACAGUGCCUGGCUUGAUACAUGUUGAAUGAUGAAUACACAUUCCUGAGAUCUAGUUUAUAAGCACAGGUCCUGCUUAUACAUGAAGAAAUCAAGGUUCAUACAUAAUGAAAUACGCGCAUUCACUUGUGCAUCUCCCCCAGCGUGACCACUCUAUAUUAUUUUAUUAUGCCAAACUUUUAUCUACAAAGAACACUAGAUUUGAUAAUAUCAAAAUUAAUUUACUACCGACACUUUCCCAGUAUAAUCCUGUUGCUAUAUACGCAGUCGUGCUGUCUCACUUAUCCAAGUAUUCCUUUUCCUAAGCGGAGGAAAAGAUCUUUGAAAUAAUUUAUGUAUUUUGUUGUAGCAAACCUCGGUUACAUAUGAAUGAAUGAAAGAGAAUAUUUCAGUAGGUGUUCCAAUCACUGUGGAUAAAAUUUACAUACUUGCCAAAACUCAAUAAGGGAAAUAAAAAUGACUUGUCAUAUCAGACUACUUUUUAAUUCAAUAAUCUAGCCACCAGAUGAUCUUACGUCUUUACCCCCGCAUCCUCUACCCAUGCCCCAAAUUCUCAUUGACAGCUGAGUCUGCUUCUAUGACCAAGGAUGUACCUUUCAUUGGA